rnacentral:lncRNA from 10 species
GCUUAAACUACCACAAAGAGAUAAAUGCAGGGGUUUUGGGUGCCAUCCACCGAGCGCAUCCCCAGGAGCUGCUGGUGCAGCUUGCCUCAAUAUCUUAUCAGUAGAUGCAUUCCUGGAUGUGCUUUGAGUCAGUUUUACACUAGUUAUGCCUUAAGGGAGGGCGGUGAAAGGGGGUUGCAAAUGAAGAAACUGAAACGGAAUCUGUUCGGCUCUCUCUCUGCUAGGAGAGAGUCACUCAGUUAAAAAAAAGGUAGGGUAUCACAUUCCCCACUCAUGUUUUGGGGAAUCAAAUCAUUGAUUCUUCAGUUAUACCAAGGGGGUUAUACUCGGUUCUGAGAUACAUAAGUUUGACAGAAGCUAUGCACUGUUUUACAAAGUUAAGGAACCAAUUUAACAUACAAGUCCUGAAGAUUAAACUUAACAAGAGGAGGAGAAGGGGUCCUGCCAGUACAGUAAUCAGAAUAGUUAGCCAUGGAUUCCAGUUGAACAUGCUUUGAUACCAGGGGGUGUUACUUUCUCGUUCUUGUUGGAGUCUAUCUAUAUUUUCUCGAACUCUUUGGAGGGUAUCUUUUAUGACUCCAGACUGAUUGGCAUAGAAAAAGCAACACUCUCCUAGGGCUGCACAUAAUUCUCCUUGGGAAGGAAAUAGUAGAUCUAAGCCUUGGUGGUUUUUGAAGAACUACUUCAGCUAGAGACUCUACCUGGGUAUGUAACAUAUUUAUGGCUGACUAGAGAUUGCUUAAAUCAGCAUCUACUUGCUGAGACAGGGACAUUAAUCCAGUUUCUCCCUGAACUAGGGCAGCCAUGCCAAUGCCUGCUGACCCAGCUAUGCUAAGGCUAGCUAGGAGGGGUACUAAGAGUGGGGCAGCUUGGCGAAACUUGGAAGGCAAUUCAGGGGGAGCAAUAAGAAGUUCUCCUUCUGGCCCACUGUACACAUAGACCUGGCGGAGUACAUGAACUAACACACACAGAAGAGGUCCAUGUUCAGUCCCAUUGAUGCAGUGAGUGAGGCCUGAAGUACAAGCCAACCAGGUGUUGUUAGGUGCCUGGUAGGAAACUGAGGUGUUUAAGGAAGUAAGUAGCGAUUGAUUACAGGUGGCCUGAAAGGGAGAAGCAGAUAAGUUAUACCCAUUGCUAAUUAGACAGGAGGCAUUCCCCUACAUGUCUCCUAAUGUAAGGGCAUGGGGUCGUGUAUGACAAAAGAGAGAGUUAACCUUGAACAUGGCCUCUACUCCUAAACCAACAUUAUAUGGGGAUUUUGCUGUCAGGCACAACCAACAAUCUUGGGCUAGUUUUGGCUGGGUGAGGUUAAGGAGGUGAUGCACUCCAUCCAGAAUGGACAUCAGGCCGGGUUGGAGAUGCUGUCGUUGUAAUUGGGAUUUAGGAACCAAGAGUGGUGGGACAGUUAAAUCGACCCUGUCUGGGUGUUUUUGGAACAUAGGGUCACCUAAAUCAGUUAGAGGUCCGAUUGGCUUAGGAGGGCUCCACGGGACCAGGACAUUUUUCUGAAUGGUGAACAUAGUUCCAACAUCAAAUCCUGAGAUAUAAAGUCUUAAUCCCCAUUACAUGCCAUAAUACCAUUGAGCUGAAUUAGGGUUACGGACAGUUAUAGGAAGAGGGUUGCAGUUCCUUAGAGUGCACGGUCUAGGACAGGAAGAGCGAGUUAUGGAGAGGGUUGAGGACUGGGUUGAUCCUCCAGAGUAAGUGGCCAGGGUUACACACAAGCAGUUAGGGCAGAAAAACUGAUAGGAAUCUCAACAACUGGGUCAGGGUGAUUUCCAGUACAGGGGUAAAAAUCAACGCUCUGGAGUCCUUUUUCUGCACCUUUAGAGCUCCCUCAUCCAGUCCGGCUUCCUGUGUGUCCGAAUCCUGCAGCCAGGUCAAUGUUUCCUGCUCCUAUGACCAGCAGAUUGCAUUGCUUUUCAUGGGUAUGGGCAGGCUCUGGGAAUAAGCACAUAAAUCAACUGCAAAAGAGACUUUUUUGGAGCUUCCUGCCUUCCAAGUAGUGUUUGCAAAUACACGUCCUGUCAUGAAAGAAGUAAGGAGAAAAGAGUAGGAUGGAGCAGAAGGCAUGACAGGCGGGAACACACAAAAGAGGUAAAUAAAAGGAAUUAAUUUGAUGGCUUCAAGUGACUUAGGUGCAGUUUUAAGGGGCCUGGCCCAGGCUUGGGGAUCCAUGUUUCUUGCUGGGCUUUGCUAGCCUUUUUGAUGAGAGAGUGAUGAAUCCAGGCAGGAAUGCCAUCCACCUUUAGAGCUGUCAGCGUGGUGAGGAUGACAGUAUGAGUCCUUUCCAGGCAGGAAUGAAUCCUUCUUUCUGGAACUUUUUAUCGUACACCAGGUCACCCGGCUGGAAAGAGUGGCAGGGUCCCAUCUGGUCAGGAACUGGAUUUGGGCGUGCUCCCUGGACAAGUGCCUGGAUGAUGUCUCGUACCUGUUGGAGAGACUGCAUGUACUGUAAUAAGUUAGCUUGAGAGAUUUCUGCUAAAUGAGUGUCUCUCAACCUAGGCAGGAUAGGUGGAGCCCUUCCAUACAUAAUUUCAAAAGGUAUAAACCCAGCUCAGUAAGGGGUGCAUGUUACUCUAAGAAGGGCUAAACGAAGGAUUCUCACCCAAUUCUCACCCAUUUCUAGAAUCAAUUUUGUAAGAGUAUUUUUUAGGGUGUGGUUCAUGCGUUCUAUCUAUCCAGAGCUCUGGGGUCGGUAGGCACAAUGGAGUUUCCAUUUGAUGUUUAAUGCCUUGCUGACCAACUGAUGUAUGGACUAGGUGAAGGCUGGCCCAUUAUCAGACCCUAUGGCAACAGGCAACCCAUGUCUUGGGAUGAUUUCAUUUAGUAAAAACUUAACUACCCUAGUGGCAGUUUUGUUUCUGGUGGCAAAUGCCUCAGUCCACCCACAAAAGAUGUCUACUAGCACCAGGAGGUUCUUAUACCCUGCCCAGUGUGGUUUAAUUUCUGUAAAGUCAAUUUCCCACCUUUCUCCUGGUGAGUCUCUGCAGAGAUGGUGGCCUGGGCUGGGUUUGGGACCUUGCUUGGCAUUUACCUGAGCACAAGCCAUACACUGGAGAGCUGCUUGGUUAGCUAAGUCCUGAGGGUGGGGGAUCUUGAAACAGCUCCUUAGAAGCUGGGCCAAUUUUACUCCUCCCAAAUGGGUGGUAGAAUGUAGACGAUUGACUAGAGUUUUCCCAAGGGCUUGGGGUCUGAAGAUUCUGGAAUCAGGAAUAAUCCACCAACCUUCCUGAUUUUUAUUAGCCUAAAGAUCUGAAGCCUGUUUGUCUUCUUCUGUGGAGUAUUUUGGGUGAUUUGGCAAGUCAGGCUGCAGAAAAGACAUGGCGGGCAGUAGGACCAAGGGCACGACUGAGAGCUGAACAGCUUCUCGGGGCUGCAGAGUCUGCUUUGGUUACCACGGGCAAUGGCUGUGUUUUCUCUUUGAUGUCCUUUGCAGUGAAUUACAGCCACCUGCUGAGGAAGCCAAACAGCUUCAAGAAAGGCUAAAAUUUCUUCUUUGUUUUUAAUAGACUUUCCUGCUGAGGUAGGAGACUCUGUGAAGACAAAGCUGGGCCUUUUUGGCUGAGACUCGAAACCCGAGUUCCUGAAGGAGGUAAAGCUGGUAGUCAUUUGUUCCGGGUUUUUGGACCAGCAACAAUGGAGUGUUCCAGGUGGACUGACAUGGUCAGGUUGGAAACACUAUUUCUGUAUGCACUAUGAAGGGACUCUUGGGAGCCCAUUGAGGCCUAUAAUGAAAAACUGAAUAUCCCCAAUGUAAACUAGAAAUAAGCUAUCUGUGAAACUGCUUUGUGAUGUGUGGAUUCAUCUCAGAGAACUAAACCUUUCUUUUGAUUCAGCAAUUGAAAGUACUCUUUUUUAGAAACUGCAGAGGGACAUUUGGAAGCCUAUUGAGGCCUAUAGGGAAAAACUGAAUUUCCCUCAAUAAAAACUAGAAAGAAGCUAUUUGUGGAACUGCUUUUUGAUGUCUGGAUUCAUCUCAGAGAGUUAAACCUUUCUUUUGAUUCAGCAUAUUGGAAACACCUUCUCUGUAGAAUCUGCUGUGGGACAUUUGGGAGCCCAUUGAGGCCUACAGUGAAAAAAGAAUAUACGCAGAUGAAAACUAGAAAGAAGCUAUCUGUGAAACUGCAUUGCGACGUGUGGAUUCAUCUCACAGAAUUAAACUUUUCUUUUGAUUCAGAAGGUUGGAAACAUUCUUUUUGUAGAAACUGCAAAAAGACAUUUGGGAGCCCACUCAGGCCUUAUAGUGAAUAACUGAAUAUUCCUCAAUAAAAGCUAGAAAGAAGCUAUCUGUGAAACUGCUUUGUGAUGUGUGGAUUCAUCUCAGAGAGUUAAACAUUUCUUUUGAUUCUGCAGGUUGGGAACACUCUUUUUGAAGAAUCUGUGAAGGCACAUUUGGGAGUCCAUUGAGGCCUAUAGUGAAAAACUGAAUAUCCACAGAUAAAAACAAGAAAGAACCUAUCUGUGAAAUGGUUUUGACAUGUGUGGAUUUAUCUCACAGUGUUAAACCUUUCCAUUGAUUAAACAGAUUGGAAACACUGUUUUUGUAAGAUCUGUGAAGUUACAUUUGGGAGCUCAUUGAUGUUUAUAGUAAGAAAAUUUAACAUCUCCAAAUAAAAAUUGGAAACAAACUACCUGUGAAACGUCUUUGAAAGGUGUGGAUUCAUCUCACAUAGUUAAACUAUUCUUUUGAUUCAGCAGGUUGGAAACAAUCUUUUUUAGAAACUGCGAAGGGAUAUUUGGGGGCCCAUUAAGGCCUAUAGUGAAUAUCCCCUGAUAAAAAUUAGAAAGAAGCUAUCUGUGAAACUGCUUUGUGAUGUGUGGAUUCAUCUAAGACAGUAAACCUUUCUUUUGAUUCAGCAGUUUGGAAACACUCUUUUUGUAGAAUCAGCAAAGGGACAUUUUGGAGCUCAUUGAGGCCUAUAGUGAAAAACUGAAUAUGCCCAGAUAGAAACCAGAUAGUAGCUAUCUCUGGAACUGCUUUGCAAAGGAUGGAUUUAUCUCCCAGAGUUAAAUUUUUCUUUUGAUUCAGAAGUUGGAAACACUGUUUUUGUAGAAACUGCAAAGGAACAUUUGGGAGCCCAUUGAGGUCUAGAGUGAAAAACUGAAUAUGUGCAGAUAAAAACUAGAAAGAAGCUACCUUUGAAACCAAUUUGUGAUGCAUGGAUUCAUCUCACAGAGUUAAACCUUCUUUUGAUUCAACAGGUUGGAAACACUCUUUUUGUAGAAUCUGCAAAGUGACAUUUGGGAGCUCUUUGAGGCCUACAGUGAAAAACCGAAUAAUCCCAGAUAGAAAGCAGAUAGUAGCUAUCUCUGAAACUGCUUUGCAAAGGGUAGAUACAUCUACCAGAGUUAAAUCUUUCUUUUUAUUCAGGAGUUAGAAUCACUCUUUUUGUAGAAACUGUAAAGGGACAUUUGGGAGCCCAUUGAGGCCUAGAUUGAAAAACUGAAUAUCCUCGAAUAAAAACUAGAAAGAAGCUACCUUUGAAAGCAAUUUUUGAUGUACGGAUUCAUAUCACAGAGAUAACCUUUCUUUCUUUUGUUUCAGGAGUUUGGGAACAUUCUUUUUGCAGAAAUUACGAAGGGACAUUUGGGAGCCCAAUGAGGCCUAGAGUGAAAAACUGAAUAUCUACAAAUAAAAACUACAAAGAAUGUAUUUGUGUAACCACUUUGCAAUGUGUGGAUUAAUCUCACAGACCUAAAAUUUUCUUUUGAUUCAACAGGUGAAAAACUCUCUUUUUGUAGAAACCGCGAAGGGACAUUUAAGAGCCUAUUGAAGCCUAUAGUGAAAAACUGAAUAUCUGUGGAUAAAAACUGGAAAAAUGCUAUCUGUGAAUGCACUUUGUGAUGUGUGGAUUCAUCUGACAGAUUUAAACUUGUCUUUUGAUUUAGCAGGUUGGAAACACUCUUUUAGCAGAAUCUGUGAAUCGACACUUGGAAUCUGAUAGAGGCCUGUAGUGAAUAACUGAAUAUCCCAUGACAAAAAUUAGAAAGAAGCUAUUUGUGAAACUGCUUUGUGAUGUGUGGAUUCAUCUCAGAGAGUUAAACCUUUCUUUUGAUUAAACAGGUUGGAAAGAAACACUCUUUUUGUAGAAUCUGCAAAGUGACAUUUGGGAGCUCAUUGAGGCCAAUAGUGAAAAAUUGAAUAAUCUCAGAUACAAACCUGAAACCACCUUAGAAAAAGUGGAUUCAUCUCCUAGAUUUAAAUCUUUCUUUCGAUUCAGAAGUUGGAAGCACUCUUUUUGUAGAAAAGUGCAAAGGGACUUUUGGGAGUCCAUGGAGGACUAUAGUGAAUAACUGAUUAUCCCCAGUAAAAAACAAGUAAGAAGCUAUCUGUGAAGCCAAUUUGCAAUGUGUGGAUUCACCUCACAGGGUGAAAACUUUGUUUUGAUUCAGCAGGUUGGAAACACUGUUUUUGUAGAAUCCAUGAAGGAAUAUUUGGGAGCCCAUUGUGGUCUAGAGUGAAAAACCAAAUAUCUGCAAAUAAAAAAUAGAAAAAUCCUGUCUGUGAAACUGCUUUGUGAUGUGUGGUUUCAUCUCACAGAGUUAAACCUUUCUUUGAUUCAGUGGGUUUUAAACAGUUUUUUUGUAGAAUCUGCAAAGGUAUAUUUGGAAGCCCAUUGAGGCUUAUACUGACAAGCUGAAAAAACCCAUGUAAAAACUAGAAAGAAAGUAUCUGUGAAACUGCUUUGUGAUGUGUGGAUUCAUCUCACAGAGUUAAACAUUUCUUUUGAUUCAGCAGGAUGUAAACACUAUUUGUAGAAACUAUGAAGGGACAUUUGGGAGCCCACUGAGGCUUAUAGUGAAAAACCAAAUAUUUGCCAAUAAAAACUAGAAAGAAGCUGUGUGACACUGCUUUGGUAUGUGUGUAGUCAUCUCACAGACCUAAAACUUUCUUUUGAUUCCACUGGUUAAAACCACUCUUUUUGUAGAAACUGCAAAGAGACAUUUAGGAGCCCUUUGAUUUCUAUAAUAAAAAACAGAAUAUUCUCUGAUAAAAACAGAAAGAAGCUAUUGUGAAACUGCUUUGUGAUCUGUGUAUUAAUCUCAGAGUGUAAAAACUUUCUUUUGAUUUCUCAGUUUGGAAACACUUUUUUUUGUGGAAACUGCAAAAAGACAUUUGGGAGAUCAUUGAGGCCUGUAGUGAAAAACUGAAUAUCCCCAGAAAAUACUAGAAAGAAACUGUCUUUGAAACUGCUUUGUGAUAUGUGUAUUUAUCUCAGAAAGUUAAACCUUUCUUUUGAUUCCUCAGGUUGGAAACAUCAUUUUUGUAGAAUCUGCAAAGGGAUGUUUGGGAGUCCAAUGAGACCUAUAGUGAAAAACUAAAUAUCCACAGAUAAAAACUAGAAAGAAGCUAUCAGUGAAAGGGCUUUGCUAUGUGUGGAUUCAUCUUACAGAUUUAAGCCUUUCUUUUGAUUCAAUAGGUUGGAAACACUGUUUUUGUAGAAACUGUAAAGGGACAUUUGGGACCCCAUUGUGGCUUAUUGUGAAAACCCAUAUACC